UACGAAGGGGGCGAGCGUUGUUCGGAAUUACUGGGCGUAAAGGGCGCGUAGGCGGCCCCUUUUGUCGCGUGUGAAAUCCCCGGGCUCAACCUGGGAAUGGCGAUGGUGACUGCAAGGCUAGAGUUUGGCAGAGGGGGUAGAAUUCCGACGUGUAGCAGUGAAAUGCGUAGAUAUGUGGAGGAACACCGAUGGCGGAAGGCAGCCCCCUGGGUCAAAACUGACGCUCAUGCACGAAAGCGUGGGGAGCAAACAGG
rnacentral:rRNA from 1 species